GCCCAGCCCGGGGUAGGGUCCGGAGCCGGGGACGCAGCCCCUUCUGCGUGCCUGACGACCUCGGCGGCGACGAGAUCUGGAGGGGAAAGUGAACGGCCCGUGUGCGUAAGAUAAGCACCGACUGAACCAGGUCCGCGCACCUGCCAGGUACGGACAGGUAGAGCCGGCAACGUUCAGACCUAAGAACGUGACAAGCACACCCUGCCUGCGCAAGGUGCAAUCGCGGGCGCACUGAGGGAAUCUGGCGCACAGAGGCUGGUCCACAAACUGUUGGAGAUGAAUACAUUGUAAGAGAAUGAUAGUGUCUGGUAAAAAUAUUGUCAGUUUCCUGGUGGAUCAGCUGGGACUCCUUACAGAGCAAGUAACCGGACACCCACCGCAAAUUGGCUUAACCGGAAUCUCUGUGGCUAAUGUGGUCCACAUAAGGGCAAUCCUAUUUCCAGGACCAAAUCUAGAAGAAACAAGAAAGCCCACGAUUGCUGUGCCUUCUUCCUGCCACAUGGUGACGCUGUUGAAAUGGGUCCUGCGCAGCCUGGUGGACAUUGCUUGUCAUUGCUCUGCUGUUGUCUCUGUUGCUUCAGGUCCUUCUAUUAGUGCCACUCGAUUUUCCAGAGGAAACAGUAUGCCUUGGCUACAAUUACAGUUCUUCAAUUAAAUUAGACAAAUACUUAUUGAGUGCCUACUACAUGCCAGGCUCCGAUCUAGGUUCUGGGAAAACGUCAGAAUGAAAUAGACAAUGAUCCCUA